GAUUAAGUUAUUAAGGGCGCACGGUGGAUGCCUUGGCACUAGAAGCCGAUGAAGGACGUUACUAACGACGAUAUGCUUUGGGGAGCUGUAAGUAAGCUUUGAUCCAGAGAUUUCCGAAUGGGGAAACCCAGCAUGAGUUAUGUCAUGUUAUCGAUAUGUGAAUACAUAGCAUAUCAGAAGGCACACCCGGAGAACUGAAACAUCUUAGUACCCGGAGGAAGAGAAAGAAAAUUCGAUUCCCUUAGUAGCGGCGAGCGAAACGGGAAGAGCCCAAACCAACAAGCUUGCUUGUUGGGGUUGUAGGACACUCUAUACGGAGUUACAAAGGACGACAUUAGACGAAUCAUCUGGAAAGAUGAAUCAAAGAAGGUAAUAAUCCUGUAGUCGAAAAUGUUGUCUCUCUUGAGUGGAUCCUGAGUACGACGGAGCACGUGAAAUUCCGUCGGAAUCUGGGAGGACCAUCUCCUAAGGCUAAAUACUCUCUAGUGACCGAUAGUGAACCAGUACCGUGAGGGAAAGGUGAAAAGCACCCCGGAAGGGGAGUGAAAUAGAACCUGAAACCGUGUGCUUACAAGUAGUCAGAGCCCGUUAAUGGGUGAUGGCGUGCCUUUUGUAGAAUGAACCGGCGAGUUACGAUUUGAUGCAAGGUUAAGCAGUAAAUGUGGAGCCGUAGCGAAAGCGAGUCUGAAUAGGGCGUUUAGUAUUUGGUCGUAGACCCGAAACCAGGUGAUCUACCCUUGGUCAGGUUGAAGUUCAGGUAACACUGAAUGGAGGACCGAACCGACUUACGUUGAAAAGUGAGCGGAUGAACUGAGGGUAGCGGAGAAAUUCCAAUCGAACCUGGAGAUAGCUGGUUCUCUCCGAAAUAGCUUUAGGGCUAGCCUCAAGUGAUGAUUAUUGGAGGUAGAGCACUGUUUGGACGAGGGGCCCCUCUCGGGUUACCGAAUUCAGACAAACUCCGAAUGCCAAUUAAUUUAACUUGGGAGUCAGAACAUGGGUGAUAAGGUCCGUGUUCGAAAGGGAAACAGCC
rnacentral:rRNA from 1 species